UCUUUGUGUCUCUUUCCCUCCCACUCUCU
rnacentral:piRNA from 1 species